rnacentral:rRNA from 1 species
UACGGGGGGGGCAAGCGUUGUUCGGAAUUACUGGGCGUAAAGGGCGCGUAGGCGGUUUGCUAAGUUGGACGUGAAAACUCUGGGCUUAACCCAGAGCCUGCAUCCAAAACUGGCAAGCUAGAGUUUUGGAGGGGGAAGCGGAAUUCCUGGUGUAGCAGUCAAAUGCGUAGAUAUCAGGAGGAACACCGGUGGCGAAGGCGGCUUCCUGGACAAAAACUGACGCUGAGGCGCGAAAGCUAGGGGAGCAAACAGG